GCACAAGCGGUGGAGUAUGUUGUUUAAUUCGAAGAUACACGAAGAACCUUACCAGGUCUUAACAUACCAUUGACAGGCGCAGAGAUGUGCUCUCCUUCGGGCAAUGGAUACAGGUGGCGCAUGGUUGUCGUCAGCUCGUGCCGUGAGGUGUUGGGUUAAGUCCCGCAACGAGCGCAACCCUCAUUGUUAGUUACUACCAUUCAGUUGAGGACUCUAAUGAGACUGCCAACGAUAAGUUGGAGGAAGGUGGGGAUGACGUCAAAUCAUCAUGCCCUUUAUGACCUGGGCUACAAACGUACUACAAUGGCCAAUACAAAGAGAUGCGAAGCGGUGACGUGGAGCGAACCUCAGAAAGUUGGUCUCAGUUCAGAUUGAAGUCUGCAACUCGACUUCAUGAAGGCGGAAUCGCUAGUAAUCGCGGGUCAGCAGACCGCGGUGAAUACGUUCCCGGGUUUU
rnacentral:rRNA from 1 species